GGAGAAUGCGCGGGUCGAGUGCUGUAGUUCGAUUUUUGCGUGUGUGCGUUGCUUGCGGCCUUUGUGCCUUUUUAUUCUUUGCUUACCUUUAUGAUAUAAAGACCUUAUUUCUUACAAGGAGGAAAAGACCGCUGACUUCAGAAACAGCGGGAACCCCAGCUCGUCCCCGGUAAUUCAAGAGGAAACGCUUGAGCAAUUACUGAUGUUGUAAACUGGGAUCAGAAGACAUACAUGGUAUCGUAUCCCAGGCAAGGCACAGUGGCUCACACCUGUAAUCCCAGCACUUUGGGAGGCUGAAGAAGGCAGAUCACUUGAGGUCAGGAGUUCGAGACCAGCCUGGCUUACAUGGUGAAACCCAUCUCUACUGAACAUACAAAAAUUAGCUGGACAUGAUGGUUAGCUGCACCUCUACUCCACGUGUUCCUCCCUUCAGGUCCCAGGCUGAUGGAGUAGCCUCUGUGUGUUUGGGAUGUUGUCAGUCAUAAUGGUGGACACAAAAGAGAUUAUGACAAACCGUGUAUUGUCUCCUACAAUUUCUGCUCACAGAAGUGGACAACAUCACUUCUUUCCACAUUUCAUUGACCAGAGCAAGUCAUGUGACCAAGCCUGAUUCAAAAUAGGCUGGAGCAAGGAGGAGCAGCAAACAUAACAUUCCCAGUUUACAGCUGAGGAAAUUAAGCUUCAAGUUGCCCAAGUUUAUAGAAUGAGUCAAUGGCAGAGGUUGAACUCAGAUGACAAAAUUGGGGUCUGGACGUGUGCAAGGACUUUUCCAAAGUCAGCUGGAAAGGAGCUGCUUAGCUGAGAGGUUCUGGCUCCAGAGUCUCCUGUGAAGUUGCAGUCAAGAUGUCUGCUGGGACCCCAGUCAUUUGAAGCCCUGUCUGGGGCAGGAGAAUCUAGGUCCAAAAUGGCCGUUGCAGGAGUCCUUAUCCACACCAUGUGGGACCUCUUCAUAGAUGUUCGAGUGUCCUCAUGGCAUGGCCACUGGCUUUCCCCAAAGUAAGCAGUCCAAAAGAGGGUAAGACAGAGCCCACACUGUCUUUUAUGAAUUAGCCUUAGAAGUCUAACACGGUUACUUCCACCACAUUCAUUAGUCGUUAGGUACAGCUCACAUUCAUGGGGAGGAAAAUCAGGGCCUGUCUUUAGAUAGGAGAUGUAUCAAAGAAUUUGUGGACAUAUUUUAAAAUCACAGCACUACUCUUGAUGUACUAAGUCAGUGACUCCCCCAGGAGUCUCACAGAGAAUUGACUCCUUGCCCACCUAUACUACCUUUGUGGGUAGAGACUCCAGUAGUGUGCUGGUUAAUGUUCAACCAGUGGCUUUCUAGAAAACAAAAUGUAUGGAUACAUAUAUAUGUUCUAAGUUUUACUGAUAUGAAGAAUGUGUAGCACAGAAUUUAUAAAUAAUAAAAUAUACAGUAUUAUUUAUUGUAAAUUCCAUAAAACCUGUUGUUUUUCACAAAAGGUUUUAGUUUAUUUUUCCCAAAUGCUUGUAUUGGUAACAUUUUCUGUAUUACCUUUUUAUGUCCAGACAAUCAACAAAACUGAAAAAGCCCAGCCUUGUAGCAUUUGCCAGUUAUUGUGUAAAUGUCCCCACUAUGGUGGAUUUCAGGUUACCACUAUGAUAUCACAGAAUGCAGAAUUGGAAGGAGAUUCACAGCAGCACCCCAUUAUACUAUAUUUUCACCAUACAGAUGCAGUCGAUGUAAAUUACCUGAGGAGCAUAAAUAAUAAUAAAAUGAAGUUAAAUAAUUCGGAAA
rnacentral:lncRNA from 10 species